rnacentral:rRNA from 1 species
CAGCCGCCGCGGUAAUACGAAGGGGGCUAGCGUUGCUCGGAACGACUGGGCGUAAAGGGCGCGUAGGCGGUUUAUACAGUCAGAUGUGAAAUUCCUGGGCUCAACCUGGGGACUGCAUUUGAUACGUAUGGACUUGAGUGGAGAAGAGGGUUGUGGAAUUUCCAGUGUAGAGGUGAAAUUCGUAGAUAUUGGAAAGAACACCGGUGGCGAAGGCGGCAACCUGGUCUUUAACUGACGCUGAGGCGCGAAAGCGUGGGGAGCAAACAGGAUUAGAUACCCGCGUAGUCCCUGUCUCUUAUAC